rnacentral:rRNA from 1 species
GAAAUACAAAUCGGACUAGGAUAUAGCUGGUUUUCUGCGAAAAUUGUUUUGGCAAAUUGUUUAUUCCUCUUAAAAAUAGUAGGUAUAGCACUGAAUAUCUCGAGGGAGUAUGAAAAUAUUUAUCUCAGAUAUUUAAUCUCAAAAUAACUAUUUCUUAAAAUAAAUAAUCAGACUAUGUGCGAUAAGGUAGAUAGUCGAAAGGGAAACAGCCCAGAACAGUAAUUAAAGCUCCCCAAUUAAUAUUAAGUGAA